rnacentral:pre_miRNA from 1 species
CAAAUACUCCCUCCGUCCGGAAAUACUUGUCAUCAAAAUGGAUAAAAGGAAAUGCAUCUAGACGUAUUUUAGUUCUAGAUACAUCUCUUUUUAUCCAUUUUGAUGACAAGUAUUUUUGGACGGAGGGAGUAGAAA